rnacentral:rRNA from 1 species
UUUUUUCCCUUUUUCUCAACCAACCAGUUUUUUGUCACUAUUCUUUCUUAAAGGUAAAUUUGAAAGACAAAGCGGCAAGCAUAAGACCAGUAUACUUUGAGUUUGUUCCGCACAAGCUAUAAGAAAAGGAUGAAAAAGAAUACAUCUAUAUGUUACAAUGUGAUAUAACAACCAUAACCAGCCAUGUUCAAGGGCUCGAAGGAUUUGUAAUUGCAUCAUGGGGCGCGAGUGGCUCCUAAGUAGAAUUGGUGAUGCGGGAUGAGCUUGAAGUUGGGUUACUAUGCUCAACUGUGUGCUACCUGGAUCCCGCAAAGGGUGUUUGGUUGAUUAAAACAACACGAGGGUGGUCAUUGAAGUCAAAAUCCAUGAAGAAAUGUGAAACUCAACUUUUGAAUCAACUAGCCUUGAAAAUAGACGAAACUAAAGCACACAUCUAUACUUAUCCACUGCGACAAGCAUUUGGCCUUGAUGAGGAGGAGGGUACAUCUUUGCUGCAAAACUUUAGACGCGAGCUCAGGUGGAGCUGUUGUUUGUG